GACGAACGCUGGCGGCGUGCCUAACACAUGCAAGUGGAGCGACGAACCAGGGCUUGCCCUGGGGCAAAGCCGCGAACGGGUGAGUAACACGUGGGUAACCUGCCCCGAUGACCGGGACAACCCGAGGAAACUCGGGCUAAUACCGGAUGUGCUCCGCACGCAUAAGCGUGUGGAGUAAAGGAAGCUUCGGCCUCCGCUUCGGGAGGGGCCCGCGGCCCAUUAGCUAGUUGGUGAGGUAACGGCUCACCAAGGCAACGAUGGGUAGCUGGUCUGAGAGGACGAUCAGCACACUGGGACUGAGACACGGCCCAGACUCCUACGGGAGGCAGCAGUGGGGAAUCUUGCGCAAUGCGCGAAAGCGUGACGCAGCAACGCCGCGUGGGGGAAGAAGGCCUUCGGGUUGUAAACCCCUUUCAGGAGGGACGAAGGUGCGGCGGCGAACAGCCGUCCGUACUGACGGUACCUCCAGAAGAAGCCCCGGCUAACUACGUGCCAGCCGCCGCAGUAAAAC
rnacentral:rRNA from 1 species